GACAGAGGAUGCAAGCGUUAUCCGGAAUGAUUGGGCGUAAAGCGUCUGUAGGUGGCUUUUUAAGUCCGCCGUCAAAUCCCAGGGCUCAACCCUGGACAGGCGGUGGAAACUACCAAGCUGGAGUACGGUAGGGGCAGAGGGAAUUUCCGGUGGAGCGGUGAAAUGCGUAGAGAUGUGGAGGAACACCGAUGGCGAAGGCAGCCCCCUGGGCUAACACUGACGCUCAUGCACGAAAGCGUGGGGAGCAAACAGG
rnacentral:rRNA from 1 species